UUGAACUCCAAAUCUGUGUGUUCUGCACAUUUUGGUGUGUGCUUAAAGCAACUAGGAUAUAAUUAGAAUUAGUUUAGUACUGUGGUAUAUUUAAAGCAUAGUUUAUCUAAGUUGCUUCAUUUUUCAGAGGUAGGAACAAAAAUUAUCUCAACUGCUGCUGGGCUCAAUGGAGCCUUUUAUAGCUGAUGACACUUAAUAAAAUAUUUUAGUGUAAUAUGUUUGUAAACCUGUUGAAAAAGAGGGAAAGCAUCAUUUAUAGUUUUAGCUUUUUAAUCCUUGCAAAGGACAAACUAAAUUAUGAUACUUGUGCAAGUUUAAAUGUGGUCAAGGAGUGCGUAAAAAUGAAGUUAUGCAUUAUAGGUGUGUAAAACGCAGAACUGAAAUAAAUCAGUCUCUUUUGGUUCAAGAGGAGAUCAGGAGAGUGCUCUUGGCAACAAUGCCCAGCCCAGGACCUCAUGAUUAGAUCACUUUGCUAGGAAGAAAGAAACACAAUAAACUCAUCUGAGUGAGGGGGGAGUAGAACCCAGAUCUCCUACCCUUUCCAAUAAGCUCUUUGGCUAAGUAUUGGGAAGGUAGCCCUCCUCCUCUGUUAUUUUACCUCUGGCAGGUAUGCCACACAUGCUUUUCUACAGGUGGAAGUAGAAUCCAAACUAUGCAUAGGGCUAGGAAAGGACAUCGUAUCUGAAACUGGACAAGUUAUGCCUGUGUUUGUCUUGAAACUGAGAAAGUUAAAAUAAUAUCAACAAUGCCCUGUAGCUGCUUGGCUCUCUGCCUCUCCAGUGGCUCCCCACUUACCUGCCCCGCCCUCUCCCUGUGCUUCCCCAGCAGCUCCCCACUCACCUGCUUCCCUCAUCCCACACCCACUGCCUGGCUCUCUGUCAAUGCAGGGCAGUAGAGCUCCAGAUGAUAGAUCAUAUGAUGGGACAGGAGGGCCAGAAAUCUGGGACCAGUGCAUCCUGAGAUACUGAAGGACCACAAAUUGCUGGUAUUGGUCCUGGGGAGUCCACUGACAUUACUGCAACACAAACUACCUAACACCAGCUAGAGACACUCAGCACCUAAAAGGAACAUCUUUAUGCAUCUCCUGAGCAAAACUGCUAUCUGCCCUGAACCAAUCUAAGCUCUGCAUGAUAUCAUAACUUCAUUUUGUCUCAGUUUGCUUUCUAGCUUAUUAGCACUGCCUUAGGAUUUAAUAACUGUUGCUCUUCAGUUGCAGGAAAUCAGCAUAGUUCAAUCUUUCAUUGUUAGUUUAAUUUAGAAUAUGCUAAUUGCUUUGCUACUGUAGAAUUUUUAAUAGUUGAUUCACGUACAGUGUCUUUGCUUACACAGAAGUGCAUUGAAAUACUAUUAAAAUAAAUCCCAAGCUGAUGACAAAUGAAGAAAUACAUAGCUAAAACUAACAGUUCUUGGAACUGCUGUCUGAAUAUCACAGAAUACAGAGUAGAAAGACUUAUUCUACCCUUGUUCUGGGCAUGUAAUUCCUGUCAAAAUAGUCUGAAAUAUGUUUCAUAGCAUGAAAUAUUACACACUAAUGCCAUAUCAAACACUUUUCUAAUGACAUAUCUGCUUACAUACCAGCAAUAUCAGCAGUACUGUCUGGUUCUUCUGUGUCCUGUGGUCCAUAGGGUUAGGAUGGUUGAGGCAUGCUAGCUUUGGUAGUCAACAGCACACAUAAGGAGUGAUAUUGCUAGCAUUAUGUCUUUUGGCUCCCAAGUCUGAUUAUCUAUUUAAUCAGUUGUGGCCACUAACAUAUGCCUGAAACAAGACUUGAACUCAAGCCAUGGAGUUGUAGUAAAGCACAUCAACAGUUUUUCCACAAUGCUACUAGAAUCGCAGUGUCUUGAGCGAUUCCUAUUACUGCUUUCAUUUUGACUUUGUUCAUGUUUGAAGUUCUAAGAUUUUAAAUAUAAAAGGCAACUCCCUGUUAUGAAUAAUCAACUUGAAAGAAUUCAUAAAAAAAUAUAACUACUUCCUGCUAAAAAAAUUUAAAGACUCAAUGCUGCUGUAAUAAAGCAGAGUCUGAAUGUCACGAUGGGGGAUCAAGGCCCAGUUAUACCAAGCGCAGUGAACACAUGUAACAAAUAGGCCGUGACUAACCUGAAAAGCUUAAGCAACGCAGCAGCUUAUUUUUAAAUGUAAUUUGGUCUUUAUGUAAGUUAUGCUUUUAUAACACGUGAAAAAUAUGCUUCAAUACUGUUUCAUAGAAGAGAUGAAGGUAUUUUUUUGUCAGUGUAAGCUUGAAGCAGACUUUUGUGAAUGAAGUUUAGAAUGGGCCAGUGUUACUGUCUUACUGGUGGUAUGAGCUAAUCUAAUAUCACAACUAAUAAAAUCUAUUUUGUGGAGUGAUAGACAUUCUCUAGAAUAUAAAAGCUAACCUCAACUUCAGUUAAAGUUCCAAUACUGUUUUUUUUAAUGAAGAUCAGUUCUUUUUCAUCCAGUUUCUAUGGCAAUGUACAGUGGACCCUGGCAACAGGUGGAUAGGAGACAGACACAGAAAAGAAGUCAAAGCAAAGCUGCAACUAACCAAAGGAAA